rnacentral:rRNA from 1 species
UACGAAGGGGGCUAGCGUUGCUCGGAAUGACUGGGCGUAAAGGGCGCGUAGGCGGUUCAUACAGUCAGGCGUGAAAGUCCUGGGCUUAACCUGGGGACUGCAUUUGAUACUGAUUGGCUUGAAUGCAGGAGAGGAUAGCGGAAUUCCCAGUGUAGAGGUGAAAUUCGUAGAUAUUGGGAAGAACACCGGUGGCGAAGGCGGCUAUCUGGACUGUGAUUGACGCUGAGGCGCGAAAGCGUGGGGAGCAAACAGG